rnacentral:rRNA from 1 species
AGAGUGAACGCUGGCGGCAGGCCUAACACACGCAAGUCGAACGGCAGCACAGCCCCCGCAAGGGGUGGGUGGCGAGUGGCGGACGGGUGAGGAAUACAUCGGAAUCUACCUUGUCGUGGGGGAUAACGUAGGGAAACUUACGCUAAUACCGCAUACGAACUAUGGUUGAAAGCGGCGGACCGCAAGGCGUCGCGCGAUUGGAUGAGCCGAUGUCCGAUUAGCUAGUUGGCGGGUAAAGCCCACAAGGCGACGAUCGGUAGCUGGUCUGAGAGGAUGAUCAGCCACGCUGGAACUGAGACACGGUCCAGACUCCGUACGGGAGGCAGCAGGUGGGGAAUACGUUGGACAAGUGGGCGCAAGCCUGGAUCCAGGUCCAAUGCCGUCGUGUGUAGAAGAAGGUCCGUUCGGUAGUAAAGCUACGUUUUGGUUAGGGAAGAAAGCGUAACGUGGUUAAACUACCCGUUAGGUCGUUAC